ACAAAACUGUCCACUCGAAAGGACAGACGACACAUUGAUGUACUCGACGGCGCUACGGCUCUCGCCACUUUGUAUACGGUUCGGCCGAUAUCUUGGGCCUUUUGCCCACGAUACUACAUUAGAAUUAUAUCUUCGACGAUUAUUAGAACGAGCGAAAAUUUCUACGGAUAGUGAUCACAGAAUUUGUCAAUCAGCUGAUAAACGUAUUGAGCUAACAUGAUUUGCAACGGAAACCUUCCGUUUCCAUAUCAAUUUCAAAUCUAUUUGGCUAUGAUCGCGCAUCCCUCGAUUGCCGCAUUUUUAUGGAAAACUCUGCUUCUCAAAUGUACACAGGCGGGUCGAACGAUGAACGGACUGUUCCAUUAUUCUUUCUAAUAAAAAAUUAUUAUUUUACUUUUGGAAUGGACCAUCGAAUUCAUUUAUGAAUAAAAUUUGUGACCAUGAUUCUUUGUACACUUUAGAAAAUUGUAUGUUGACUUCCAACGUAUUAAGUAGCACUCAAGUUUUGUUAAUAGAAUGUUCUCCUCUCGUGUCGUAUUCUGGAAGGUGGUUUCAUCCCUUGAACUCCAGUUAUCGCGACUAACAAGGAUGUGCAAUUAUAAAUGUGACUGUUCUUCAAGCCCACAAAGUGCACUCUCGAGUUUCAUCCAAGUUUUGUUAUUGGGAUCGAAUGCAAAUUUCGAAUCUGUCAGAUUUUUCUCUGUAAAUCAGCUAAAAUGUCCGAAGCUAUUCUCUCUAGUAACUUGUAAUAACUAACCCUUACUCGAAUCUCUGCCCUGGGCAAUGUGCACUCCAUCGAUCAGCAACUUCAGUUACCGCUCAUCCUCACUAAAAUCUUUCCAUGACUCAAUGCCUCGUGGGUGCACUUCCAGCUCCAACUGUUUUCUUGGACAGUGUCCACUAGCUACAUCGAUGGCGGAGAAUAAUCUGUCUCUCUAAUCAGUCUCUCUGUAGACGCUGCCGUGUAAACUUGCAAUUAUUUCCUUGACAAAUCACCUUCUGUGGACGACGUCCAUUUCCUGGUUAUUUAGUGGUUACUUUCACCAAAAUUGUCGACCACCUGAUCACUGCGAAACUUUCCGGGGGAUUCUUAGUAGUUUCACCUACUUUCACAGACAGUGUCUAUCCAAGAUUGGUAAAAUAAACAGACUAUCGGGACAUUCUUUGGAAAGUAGAACGAUUUUCGCUAUCAGAGAUGCAGAUUCUAUCAAGCAAAAGGGAGACACUCCGGAGAAAAGAAAUUGACGCUAAAACAUAGUUUCGCAAUCUAAACGAAGAAUGUCGAAAAAGGAAUAUGCUGAGACUAAAAAAAUGUUAAAGGCAUUAAGAGAAGUUCUAAUAAAAUACAAAAAAAAAAAAAAAAAUAACAAACAAAGCAAUAAAAAACAAAACUGACACGAAAUUCGAAGAAUAAGAAUAGAUCAAGAAUAUCACCGAAUAAAAUACGAAAAAAAAGGUAGAAGAAAAGACUGGAUGAGAGCACUAAACUGAAGUUUUACUGAUAAAGAAACAGGAACACCAAAGAGAGUAGUUCAAUCAAUAAAAAAUAGCCUAACGAUGCUAAAGAUCAGUAAUAAAAAAAGGUAUACGAAGGGAGAGACGGAAUUGCAGCACGUCUGUACUACCAUUCGCGUUCAUCCCUUAACUCGCACUACUUCGAGAUUUUCUCGUUGAUGGCUGUAUACAAUCAAAAGCGGGGAAAAGCUAACCAUUGGCAAAGGUUUAUUUUUCGACAGAAAAAAUCUCGUUGAGACUAUUCUUUUUAAUCAUUGCAACGCCGAGAUUUCCAACUUCAUUUUCUGGUAAUAAAUCCAGCUGAUAUCAACUACUGGAAGCACCGACGUGCACUAACACGUUCGUGAUAUUCAUUUCCAAAUAACGCGCGUGUGUUUUAUUUUCCCUGAGUAUAUAUUUCCCCUUUUUCAUAACAUCGUCGAACAUUCGUCUGUUUACCGACGGAAGCAGGAAAACGAGGAAAAAAUACGUAGACGAAAAAAAAAAAUCUGUUUUAAUAACGAACUACGAAUAUCUGCGCAAAAUUUUACGAACAUGACAUCAUGAACGACCUAUAUCUUUAUUUGUUGUUGAAUAAAAAUUAACGCUGCUGUAAACACGGUUAUCAUGAGAUCUACAACUUCACGAUUUUAUUAAAUAUACUUCUUUUACGAUAUAAUCGCAAAAACAUUUACCGGGAUUAUGUAUUAUAAUGAAUAUUGUGUAAAUAAGGAAAUUGAAAUGUAUCGAACACAAAUUAAAGAUAUUGAAAUAUAAGAGUCAUGUACCGUAAUGAAUAUUUUGUGUAUCAAACAGAAAUGUAUCAAACAGAAUCAAAUGUAUGUAUGUAUCAAACAAAUUAAAAAUGCCGGAGGAUAAGAAUUA